rnacentral:rRNA from 1 species
CGAACGGGUGAGUAAUGCGUGACCAACCUGCCCCAUGCUCCAGAAUAGCUCUUGGAAACGGGUGGUAACGCUGGAUGCUCCAACUUGACGCAUGUCUUGUUGGGAAAGUGUUUAGUGGCAUGGGAUGGGGUCGCGUCCUAUCAGCUUGUAGGCGGGGUAAUGGCCCACCUAGGCUUCGACGGGUAGCCGGCCUGAGAGGGCGGACGGCCACAUUGGGACUGAGAUACGGCCCAGACUCCUACGGGAGGCAGCAGCC